GGAAAAGAAGAAGAAGAAGAAGAAGAAGAAGAAGAAGAAGAAGAAGAAGAACUUCUUCUUCUUCUUCUUCUUCUUCUUCUUCUUCUUCUUUU
rnacentral:miRNA from 1 species